CUGCAUGUGAAGGAGGAAGAGUAAGUAUGGCAAAUAUGAAGUUUACGUGUUUGUAACGUGCGCAAUGUUGGGUUUAUUAGAAAAUCUUGUAAAAUUUAAAUGUUUAAUAUUUGAUUUUAAUGUACAUGGGGAAGCGACAAUAGUAGGUUGAAUGGUAGUGACAUAUUUUGUAAAUAUUGUAGUAAAGAAAGGGAAAUUAGUUAUUUAGGUUGAGAAUCAUUGUGAGAUUAACACCUAAGCAUGACAUGUAUGUAGAUAAAAUUAUAUACUAAAUGUUACUCUUCCAAAAUGUAAAGAGAUUUUUUUUAUCAAGACCAAAAUCCAACCAAUUUAAUUUCCGUUGAACAAUAUAUACACACAGUCAAAUCUAAAAAAUGUUUCCAACUAUAAAAAAGUUAUAAAGCUAUAAAUAGGAAUUGUUCAUAGUAACCAGAGGUAUCAAAAAGAGACAAACAUAGAAGAUACACAAGACUAAAAAAUAAAAGAUGGAGAAGAAGUGCAUGUGCAUGUUGAUGAUUAUGUUCAUUGCAUUGACGUUGAUGCCAUUACCAGGAAUGAGUGAAUCGUAUGAAUCUUGUUAUGAAAGGUGCAUUCACUCGUGCCAAAUAUUUUUUGAGGGAGUUGAAAAAUGCAUUCAUGAUUGUGUUGGUAUCAAAUGUCAUAAAACACAUUUACUCCCUCGGAUGGAGGCUAAAAAGAUGUUUCAAGAAAUUCAUACAUAGAGAGAUAUGUUAUUAAAAACACAUGAUGUUUAAAUUUACUACUCUUUGAAUUAUAUAAUUUUGAAUAAUAAAAUUCCAUCAUUUUUAGAAUUCAGUUGUUUUCACAACAUCUUCUAUUGCACAUUUUUAAUUGUUGUGUUGUAUCAUAGAUCUUAUUGGUUCAUAGUAUGUCUAAAUUUACAUAUGGGCAUGUACCAUUUAGAGUUUCAGGCCAUCCAAACAUUAGAUAACUCAUUGCACCCAAUCUAAGAAUAUAAAAGAUUAAGAGUUUGAUUGGUAGAAUGUGAUUUUUUUUUUCUUUAGAAAGAGGCUAUAAAUUUUUGUGCUGUAAUUGUAGAUGUAGCUGUAAUUUCUAUUGCUAUAUUUUCAAAUUUAACUUUUAUAACUUCUAAUUAUUUAUUUAAAGCAUGAUUUAUAAAUUGAAGUUGUAGAAAGCACCGAGAUCAGUUACCAAUAACCCCUUAAAAAUGUGGAAAUUGUUUUGUUUUAUGUGAUAUUAGAAAUCUUCUGUAUUAAAAAAGAAUUACAAAAAAUCUAAUGUACCAAAGUCAUAGGAAAAUAAUGUCAUUAAUCAUUUAAUAUAGCAUAUUUGAUAGCGUAAGAAUCUACAUUAUAAUAGGACAGUUGCAUCACUCCUGAUGCGACACGUCAGUGAUUUGUGGGUCUCAUUUUUAAAAAGUGUGAAAAAGUGUCAAGUCUGUAACCCGAACCCGGGUUAUUGAGAUCUAAACAACAACAUUUAUACCACUAAGCUAAAGGAUUCUUUGUACAUUGAUGGCUGAAACAAAUAUAUAUUUAUGAAGGUCGGAAACCUUUGCUUCUUCGGUUUUCUUUGUGGGACCCACACUUAUUUAUUUUAUCUAAUGAUUUAAUAAAUACUUUAUAACUCACGUUUUGAAAUGAGAUUCGUUAAAAAAAACCCAAUAAACCUCUUUGGUAUGUAAGCGUUUUCUUCAAUGGAAAUUUAGGGCUUUCAAUUUUUAAUCAUCGGUUCAUGACUCAUCUAAGAAACACAGAUUGACUCUUUGAGUUUCAUGAAUCAGUUUUUCUUCUUUAGUCUCUACAUCUCCCCAUCUUUAAUAAAUUCAUCAUCGGUUCUUUUAUUUUGCUUGAUAAAUCAUGAUUGUGUGGUUUUAAUUUUCUUUGGUCAUCCUUAGUUUGUACCCUUUGAUCUAACCAAGAAGAAGAAGAAGACAUUUGUUGUUUAGGAUGUCAUCGAGGACUCAGCUGAGUCACACGGGAGACAUAUUAUCCGUUGCCUGAUUGUUCAAGAAGAGUUUCUGUGUUGUGAAACAUAUUUGUUUCUUUUCAUCAGUUGCUUUGUUUAAUCUUUCCUGCAAAUAAUGAUGGCUUUGACAGUUCAUUCACGGGAGCCAAGAAGUAAAAGAAGAAGAAGCCAGUGAGUGUUUGACAUUUUCUGUCUUCCUGAGUUUUUUUUUCCAUUCAUUAAACUUGGAUUUUGAAGAUUAUGUGCCUCACAUUCUUUUUAUUUUGAUGGUUGUUAGGUUGAAUGAAGAUCAUUGAAUAAAGAAAAUGUCGAUGCUCCUGAAGAUUUGGAGGGUACUUUAUAUUUCUUUCUCUGAUAAUUCUAGCGACAUAAAUUUGAACCUUACAGAGGGUAUAAUGCAGAGCAUCCUAAUGAUGAGGAAGAGGUGGAGGGAAUUGAUAUGCACCAGCAACGUUACCCGUGGGAGGGAAGUGACAUGGAUUACUUAUACGACGAGAGUUCUUUUGCACAGCUAUUGUCAAUGGAAUUAACACUGGAAAUUGAUGGUGCUAUAUUUCAUGUUCCAAAUGCUAACGCAAGCUCCAAUGUUGAUUCUCAGCUUUAACAUGCCAAAAUCACAAUGCAGUGGGUGUUGUAAGGUAAUUCAGUAGGCACAAAUGUUCAGUUGAAAAAAAUUCUAAACUGUAUUUAUGCAUCAAACUUAUCAUCUGUAACAUAAUAACAUGCUUUUUCUGUGCUACGAAACGUUUGUAAUUAAAUGUCUCGGAUGUAUAUGACUGCUUAGUUUGUUGCUUUUGACAGUGAAAUCACUAAACUUCCAAUGUGUCAGGACAGCAAAAGCAUCUCAGCUGAUGGUUACCUUUACAAUUUCGUUGGUUUCUUUUUCCUAUUAUGUUGGAUGGAUUAUUUUAGCUAACAAAUAUCGUAACAGAGCGCUGGCAAUAACUCUAAUAGAUUUAUAUAUACAUUUAGAAUUGGAAGUUUGGUGAGAACAGGAACAAGUACUUCUGUCACGCUAUUGGACAGUUAUACGUCAUUUCAAGAGAAUUGAUUUCUUAUAUUUCUCAUAAUCAGUAAGAUUUUAACUGUUUUGUCUACUUUCCAUUCAUACCUCAUUCUCCAUAUAACUUCUCGGUGCUACUAUAUAAUGAUCAAGUCAUUUUCUGCACAAAUAGGCAAGUGGGGAUGUUACGUUGGGUGCUUGUUUUAUUUGGCUUGGCUAUACAAAGUCUAUUGUGACUCUAAAACUUUUAUGUCAUUUAACAUUGAUUCUGGUUCUUGGGAGAAUUGCAGAUUGUGAAUGAAAGGCACAAGCAGGGAACAUAUGUAUAGCUGCAUUCGACUCGACAUGUAGCGGUAUCUGCAGAUCCGCUGAUCCCAUUGUGGAGGUUAACAUGCAAUGUGUUGACCUGGAAAUCAUUAUUUGGAAGCUACAUUUCGAGGCAUUUCCUCAACAUAUAAAUAGAUCAUAGACAGAGUUUGAUAUUUAUAAUACCCAGUGAUCAUGGAGUCGGCAGAAAACAGUCCUUUUGCAUAUUCUAUAUAGAACCAAGAGAUAUGUCAUUUGUUUGAUGAUUGUAUUAUGAUAGCUACUAACAUAGGAGAUGACUAGAGAAAGAGAAAUGAGUAUGAAACUCUUAUAUGGGUAGCUUUUGUAAACACAUUUGGGUUUAUUAACGGUUGUGACAAACAAUUAUGUUUAUAGUAAAGGAAACCCGCCGCAGCGUCAAUAACAAAUGCGCCUUUUUUUGGUUGUUUGGGAUUGAAAUAGCUUAUGAGUUUUCUAAAUCAAUAUAAUUGAUUUGACUAAAGCUAUCUUGGAUGACAAAAAGAAGGAUUGCAAGUUUAAUAACUUCUACUUUAGACUUUAAUUUCAACUAAAUUAUAAUCAGUCUUUUAUCCAUAUCAUCUUAGUUAUAAUCGUAAGGAUUUAUUAGAAUAAAUAAACAGUUUCAACAAUAUUUAGUAUGUGAUUUAAUAAACAAAAGAAUAUGUAGGAUUUUUAGGAUUUAAAGAGAUUGGAGACAAUAGUUAAUAAAUAUGAAAAGAAUACGAAGCAGAUGAUGAAAAAUGAUUCGAGCAAAUUAGUGGCAACACAGAGUUAAGCUAGAUAAAAAUAUCAACCAAUAAAGAAUGAAAGAAGAAUGAGCAGGGUUAAGUUAUUACACAAGCCAAAACUAAGACAAAUCAAACGACAGAACGUGAAAACAAAUGUAAACAAGACAAAAGGAGAUGGUGAAGAUAAAAUGCAUUGAAAAACUGAAUGCUAUAUUAGUAAGUAAGAGACAAAAAUAGAUUAAAAUGCAAAAACUCCGCGCCUUGGCGCGGGUAACGAUCUGUAGUCAUGUAAAUGUUACGGUGUGUAACUUUAUUGAUAUAGCACAUAUAAUAUAGUAUAACUUUUAUGAAAAUUCUGCUAUAAAGAUUAUAAAUGCUUUGACCAAUGUUGGCUAAUUUUCAUGUCAUAGACAAAAUGGUUUAUAGUUUUAUAUUAUACUGUUUCGAUCAAUUUGAUUAUCUUAAUUGCAACAAAAUGUCAUAACAUGUGAUAUACCAAGCUUUUAUAUUUGUUUGGUAGAUUUUUAUUACAAAAUAAGUUUAGUAAAAAGUUAAAAAUUCCAUCAACAUAUGUCGUAUAUCACAUAUAUCUGGUUAGAAAGAUGGGCUUCGUAAAAAAAAAAAAUUAUAAUUAUAUUUAAUUAGAUAGAAGUAUAAGUUAGGUACAAUUGUCAACAAAAAUAGGAUAAAACAACAGUGGCUUUAAUAUUAAUAACUGCAUAAUAAUAGUCACGUAUACGUAUAUUUUCUUUAAUUUAUUAACUUUCUAAUAAAUAGGUUUAACCACAUUUUAAAGUAGAUUUUUAAGAAUGCUUUUAUUUAAUAGUAUAGAUAUUUUGUUAUGUGUUUUUCAUAAUUAAUAGUUUUAAAUUUUUAUGAUAAUAUUUAUAUAAAUAAAUAC